AGACGGAGGGUCCUAGCGUUGUUCGGAAUAACUGGGCGUAAAGGGUACGUAGGCGGUUUGGUCAGUUAGAUGUGAAAGCCCAGGGCUCAACCUUGGAACUGCAUUUAAUACUGCCAGACUUGAGAUCGGAAGAGGAAAGCGGAAUUCCUAGUGUAGAGGUGAAAUUCGUAGAUAUUAGGAGGAACAUCAGAGGCGAAGGCGGCUUUCUGGUCCGAUACUGACGCUGAGGCGCGAAAGCGUGGGGAGCAAACAGGAUUAGAAACCCGAGUAGUCC
rnacentral:rRNA from 1 species